CCCACGUCUCAUCCCCUCAGAUAAACAUUUAAUAUAAUUAUAACACACACAAUUUUACCCAAGUUCUGGAGGUACCCCAAAACCAGGGGGUACACCCUUAAAUCCAGUAUCCAGGGGAACAACAUAUCAAAAAUCCAGCCCAUUCGGUUAAAGCGUUCGGGAGUUAUGGGUCUUUGAAGUUUUGACCGACCGCACAGACUUUCUAGCUGAAAAU